rnacentral:misc_RNA from 1 species
GAUGAAGAACGCAGCGAAAUGCGAUAAGUAAUGUGAAUUGCAGAAUUCAGUGAAUCAUCGAAUCUUUGAACGCACAUUGCGCCCGCCAGUAUUCUGGCGGGCAUGCCUGUCCGAGCGUCAUUUCAACCCUCGAACCCCUCCGGGGGGUCGGCGUUGGGGAUCGGCCCUCCCUUAGCGGGUGGCCGUCUCCGAAAUACAGUGGCGGUCUCGCCGCAGCCUCUCCUGCGCAGUAGUUUGCACACUCGCAUCGGGAGCGCGGCGCGUCCACAGCCGUUAAACACCCAACUUCUGAAAUGUUGACCUCGGAUCAGGUAGGAAUACCCGCUGAACUUAAGCAUAUCAAUAAGCGGAGA